GGAUUGGCCAGGCUCUUCCACCAGCCUCACGCAAAGAUCACCAUCACCUGAUUUGUCCAGUGUUCCCGGUGUCCUGUCUGCCUUGUGUUUGUCAUCAGUCUGUCUUCCCCGCAAGCCCUCUGGUGUGUGCAUUCGGUCUCCCUCUGUAUCAGUCAUCCAGCCUGCCACCAAGGAUCACCCGAACAACCAGACUCCACUCACUUCUCCUCCGUUCUCCUUGUGUGCUCAGUUGUUGUUUAAUAAACAUCGUUGAUAAUUCACUCA